rnacentral:rRNA from 1 species
GAUGAACGCUAGCGACAGGCUUAACACAUGCAAGUCGAGGGGCAGCGGGGUGUGGCAACACACUGCCGGCGACCGGCGCACGGGUGAGUAACGCGUAUGCAACUUGCCUAUCAGAGGGGGAUAACCCGGCGAAAGUCAGACUAAUACCGCAUAAAACAGGGGUCCCGCAUGGGGAUAUUUGUUAAAGAUUCAUCGCUGAUAGAUAGGCAUGCGUUCCAUUAGGCAGUUGGCGGGGUAACGGCCCACCAAACCGACGAUGGAUAGAGGUUCUGAGAGGAAGGUCGCCCACAUUGGUACUGAGACACGGACCAAACUCCUACGGGAGGCAGCAGUGAGGAAUAUUGGUCAAUGGCCGGGAGGUUGAACCAGCCAAGUCGCGUGAAGGAUGAAGGUCCUAUGGAUUGUAAACUUCUUUUGUGCGGGAAUAAAGUCGGGGAUGCGUCCCCGUUUGCAUGUACCGUACGAAUAAGCAUCGGCUAACUCCGUGCCAGCAGCCGCCGUAA